rnacentral:SRP_RNA from 1 species
GCCGGGCGCGGUGGCGCGUGCCUGUAAUCCCAGCUACUUGGGAGGCUGAGGCAGGAGGAAUGCUUCAGUCCAGAAAUUCUGGGCUGUAGUGCGCUAUGCCGAUUGGGUGUCGGCACUAAGUUCGGUGUCAAUAUGGUGACCUCCCGGGAGCGGGGGAUCACCAGGUUGCCUAAGGAGGGGUGAACCGGCCCAGGUCCAAAACGGAGCAGGUCAAAACUCCUGUGCUGAUCAGAAAGACAGAGAGAGACAGAGAGACAGAAAGUGAGAAAUCACCCCCUAGGGGGGAUGGCCAUACCACAAUCCCUUCUCCU